GUCUACAGCCAUGCUACCCGGAACACGCCUGAUCUCGUCUGAUCUCGGAAGCUAAGCAGGGUCAGACCUGGUUCACAUCUGAAUGGGAGACCACCUAGUAAUAACAGGUGCUGUACACA
rnacentral:rRNA from 1 species